rfam:Dipodomys ordii contig_96120, whole genome shotgun sequence.
GGUGGCUCAAUGGUAGAGCACUUGCCUUGCAUGCAUGAGGCCCUGGGUUCGAUUCCUCAGUACCA